GGAAGUUACACUAAUCCAUGUGAGAGAUGAUGGUGACCUGCCCAGCAUUGGGAAGUAGGAAGGCAUGGGAAGUGCUUGAAUGCUGAGUGUGUUUUGCAGGCAGAGCUGACAGAAUUUUCUGACUGACCAAUGGGGUGUGAGAAGUGAGAGGCCAAGGAGGACACCCAGUAUUUUGAGCAACUGGAAGAACAGAGUUGCCAUUAACUUCUUGUUGACUAGAAUUUAAUCACAUGGCAUAGGAGGCAGAAUUCUAAGAAUUCUUCCUAUGAUCCUUGCCUUGGCAUAAUCCCUUUCUUCCUUUUUGAGGAUAGGUAGAAAUCAACAUGAUCUCACUCCUGAGAUUAUGUUCUGUUAUAAAGCAAAAGGAUUAUCCAGGUGGGUGUAAUCUAAUCACAAGCCCUUGAAAAUCAGUUUUUCUGGCUGCUGGGCAGAAGGGGAAGACAGAGAGUGUAUUAAUCAGGGUUCUCCAGAGAGGCAGAACCAAUAGAAAGGAUGGAUGAAUAGAUAGAUAGAUUAGAUAGAUAGAUAGAUAGAUAGAUAGAUAGAUAGAUAAAGGGGGUAUUUUUUAAAAAAGAGAUGGAGUCUCACUAGGAUGCCCAGGCUGUUCUUGAACUCCUGAGCUCAACUGAUUCUCCUGUGUCCACCUCCCAAAGUGCUGAGAUUACAGGCAUGAGCCACCACACCCAGCCAGAAAGUAUUUUUUAAUUAAGGUGUGUACUAUGUUUUUUUUAGGCAUAAUGAAUGCUAUUGCACAUGUAAUAGAUUACAGUAUAGUGUAAACAUAACUUUUACAUGCACUGGGAAACAAAAAAAUGUGAGCCAGUGCACCUGGCUGAGAGGGGAUUUAUUAGAGGAAUUGGCUCAUGUGAUUAUGGUAGGCAAAAAGUCCCACAAUGAGCCAUAUGCAAGCUGGAGACCCUGGGAUGCUGGUAGCAUGGCUCAAUCCAAGUCUGAAGGCCUCAGAACCAGGGAGGCCAAGGGUGUAACUCUCAGGCCGAGCCCAGAGGCCUGAGAACUCAGGGAGGGGAGCCACUGAUGUAAGUCCUGGAAUCCAAAGGCCGAGAAGUCUGGAGUUAUUGUCCAAGGACGGGAGAGGAAGAGUGUAUCCCAGCUCCAGCAGGUAGAUCAGCACAUUCAUUUUUGCCCUGGUUUUUCUUCUCUCCAAGCCCCCAGCAGAUUGAAUGGUGCCCACCCACAUUGCAGGCAGAUCUUUCCCACCUAGUCCACUGAGACUCACACACUAAUCUCCUCUGGAAACACCUUCACAGAGACACUCAAAAGAAUGCUUUAGUAGGUUUCUACGUUUUCCUUAAUCCAGUUAAGUUGACACCUAAAAUUAACCAUCAGAGAGAGAUUCCAAGCAUAAGAAAGGCACUGCACCAAGGCUGCCUUGAAGAUGUAGGGGACUGGCCAGGUGCAGUGGCUCACACCUGUAAUCUCAACACUUUGGAAGGUCAAGGAGGGCAGAUCACUUGAGGUCAGGAGUUCGAGACCAUCCUGGCCAACAUGGUGAAACCCCAUCUCUACUAAAAAUACAAAAAUUAGCCAGGCGUGGUGGUGCACACCUGUAAUCCCAGCUACUUGGGAGGCUGAGACAGGAGAAUCUCUUGAACCCAGGAGGCAGAGGUUGCAGUGAGCCAAGAUAGCAUCACUGCACUCCAGCCUGGGUGGCAGAGCAAGACUCUGUCUCAAAAAAAGAAAAAAAAAAGAAAGAAAAGAAAAGGUGUAGGGACCACAGGAAGUAUCCCGGCAGCCUCUGGGAACACAGAGCAGCCCCCGCUGCUCACAGCCAGGUAGGAAUCAGGAUCUCAGAUCUACAGCCACAAGGAACUGGAUUCUGCCAACCUGAAUGAGUCUAGAAGUAGAUUCUUUUCCAGAGCCCAGCCCAUGGACACCUUGGUAUCAGCCUUUUGGGACCCUGAGCAGAGAACCCAGCCAAGCCCAGACUUCUGACCUACAGAACUCUGAGAUAAUAAGUGGGUGUUGUUUUAAGCUGCUAAGUCUGUGGUCAUUUGUCACACUGCAAUAGAAAACAAACACAUAUGGCCACUCCUAACUGAGAGAGGUUGGUAAAUGGUGUCUCAAGCUGGAUAUUCAUGUGCAUUGCUAAACUUGGAGGAGGAGUUCUAUGAUGAAAGAAAGAGAAGCAUGAAUAUUAGGGAGAUGAUAAGACAUUCUUCCACACACUGUAAACCUGCCCUGUCCAAUACAGCACACACUAACCACAUGUGGGUAUCUUUUUUUUCUUUUUUUUUGAGAUAGAGUCUCACCCUGUCGCCCAGGCUGGAGUGCAAGGGUGUGAUCUUGGCUCACUGCAACCUCCACCUCCCAGGUUCAAGCAAUUCUCCCACCUCAGCCUCCAGAGUAUUUGGGAUUACAGGCACCUGCCAUCAUGCCUGGAUAAUUUUUGUACUUUUGUAGAGACAGGGUCUCGCUCUGUUACUUAGGCCGGAGUGCAGUGGUACAAUCUUGGCUCACUGCAACCCCAACCUCCUGGGCUCAAGUGAUCCUCCCAUUUCAGCUUCCUGAGUAGCUAGGACUACAGAUGCACACCACCACGCCUGGCUAAUUUUUGUAGAGACAGCCUCUUGCUAUGUUUCUUAGACUUGUCUCGAAUUCCUGGGCUCAAAUGAUCCACCAGCCUCAGCCUCCCAAAGUGCUGGGAUUGCAGGCAUGAGCCACUGCGCCUGGUCUAAAAACACCCUUUUCAUUCAGCACUAUAGGUUUUAAAAGGCAGUGUUCCCAUAAGAAAUAAUGGCAAAGAAAGGAACUCCCAGUCACAUUCAGCAAACCUGUUUUCCCAGCUACAUUCAUGCACUGGUUGAUGCAGAUACAUCAGACAGAUGGUAUACAUCUCUUCGUGACUCAAUCUGCUGAACGAUGCAACUGUCACAGUAUCCAACAGGCAGGGUCUUACUCUGUCACCUGGCCUGGAGUACAGUGGCACAAUCACGCUUCACUGCAGCCUCAACCUCCCUGGCUCAAGCGAUCUUCCUACCUCAGGCUUCCAAGUAGUUGGGACAGGUAUGUGCCACCACGCCUGGCUAAUUUUUUGUAUUUUCUAUAGAGACAGGGUUUUGCUAUGUUGUCCCAGGCUGGUCUCGAACUCCUGGGCUCAAGUGAUCCACCCACCUCAAUCUUCCAAAGUGCUGGGACUACAGGUGUGACCCACCAUGCAUGGCCAGCAGGUCCUUUUAGAACCCCAACUAAGUUCAGAAUAUAGUUAAUUUGGUCCUCAGGCCUAUAUGAAGAAAUAUUACUGAUUUCAUCAAAGUCACAAUUUAUAGUGUACAUUCUUAAUCUUUUGGUUGUAAAAAGUCCCAUUUCACAACUGGGCUGAGAGUAUGAAAGCCCAGAUUGAAUGAAGAGGGAGUCCGUGGUGUGGAGAGGGGGACUGGUGGUGGUAAGAAUGGGGUGCUGGAGCCCAAGCAUGAGGAGAGUUUCCAUAGGAAAGUAGGGGUGGUGACUCUAGCUGCCCAGCUGAGAAUAUCAGAGUCCAAG
rnacentral:lncRNA from 10 species